GCCUGGGGGCCGCCAUCCUUCUGGCUCUGAACCCUGGGGCCUCAUGCUGAGUGCUACAAGGUCCAAGGCCACAGCAGCCCUGAAGCACUGUUCCACCGUGUGUCCUCGGGGCCAGUCCUUCCUGACAGCAGCGGACUGUUCCUCAGAGCCUUUCCCUGAAAAAUAGCCUCCUACUUCCUUAAAGACUUUAAUUUUGAGAUGACCUGGGAAGAUAACCAAAAUGUUGAUAUCUAAGAUCAAUAAAAAAUAAUUAUUAUUCAGAUAAAUAUUUAUGGAUGCCAGUAUUAAAAUGCCAUGAAAUUGUUCAUUUCCACUGAUGCUAUUAUUCAUUAAAUAAUAAUUACCUUGUAUUCAGAAAAAAUGUGAUGAUAUAUGGCUUAUUAUUUAAGUCCAAGGUGUGGUCACUGUAGUUUUCCCACCACCAAAGCACCCAUAGUCCUUCACCCACUGAGGAAUAUUUUAAAGAAAGUCUUAUUAACCC